GGCUUAAUGUUUUUGUAUUGCAUAAAUAUGACAAGUAACUAUCCACUUAGCAGUAAGUUCGUCAUUAUCUUUAUAUUCGUCAUCAAAUGGAUUUAAUAUUAUGGUUGUAUUCAUGGAUCUUUCUGGACAGUGGGUGAUGUGUGUCGGCCGUUAACGUUAGCAUAUCUCCAUGGACAGCUAAGUGUCUAUGAUGUUAAAUUAUUAGGCCUAUGUUGAGUAUAACUAUUUUAUUCGUAAGUAUAAAAUGGAAGUUAACACAUCUCCUCCCAGUCGUUGUUUGGAAUUUUAGCCUUAGUCUCCCGGCCAGUUUCAUAAAUUUUCAUCAGCCAGCGAACAUUUUGUCCGAUGGGCAUGUGUAAUUUCUAGAAGUGCUAGUUCUUCAGAAAAAGGAUACGUGCCUAAGUACACUAAACCAACGUUAGUUCUGCUGCUGUGUUGUUCCGGUUUUUAUUCCAAACUUCCAUUUUCACUCCUAAUGUUCACCCUGACGUGAACAGGAAAUGUGCAUGAUAUCAUUUGACUGUUGUAGGCCCCUAGAGUACUUCUAGGUGUUUUCAUGACCGAUGUCAGUUAACUUUUUGGGAGCCAACGCAUGUGAGGCGAAACGUGUUUUUUACCUGACUUGGGAGUCAAAUGUUUUGAAUGUCUACUAUACAUUGAUUAAGGCAUUUUCACGCACGAGCAGGAAACAAUGAUACAUUACUAAUACUUAAUUCAAGUCAGUGGCAGGAAAUGAUAAACCAUAACCAGCAACGCAUUAAUUACAGCAAUGCAUUACUUUUUCUGCAACUCAGAGAAUACCUUAAGUUUGGCAGUUUUUUAGCAACUCAGUCAACAUUGCAUGUAAGCUUAACACAAUAAUGCAUAUUUUUUCUUUUUUGUGUCACUCCUCACCACAUAUGGCAGAUUUAGUGUGAAGAGCCACCUGUACAAGAUUCCUGGGACAGCAGAACAUGCACCUCACGCACUACCCUGGCACCCUGGCUGAACAACCCGCAGCACAUCAUCUCCAGCUGAGAGGGGGACUCAUACAUUCAUUUGAAAUCAGCUCUACUGAGCGUAACACAACUCUUGCAAUCAAAUUUGGCAGAGGCUCUGAAGGCCACAUAGCCAGCAAGGUACACUGACACAUUGCCCUCAAUGACGUCCAGCCCCUUCAUGAACUCUGUGUUGUCCAGUCCAGGGAAUGUGGGUUCCUCAUCAGUAGACUGUACGUGAGGCAUGGUCAGUGCGGUGCAUGGAUGGGGAGUUGCCAUCUGCGAUGACUCAGUGCAGCUCUACAAAAUCAUUGCAAAUGAUUACAGACUUACAGUAUACUAAUCAUGUGUGACACUUUUGUUUUUGAAAGGGUGUUUCGUGUACCUCGUGAGGCAUGGUCAGUGCGGUGCAUGGAUGGGGAGUUGCCAUCUGCGAUGACUCAGUGCAGCUCUACAAAAUCAUUGCAAAAGAUUACAGACUUACAGUAUACUAAUCAUGUGUGACACUUUUGUUUUUGAAAGGGUGUUUCGUGUACCUCGUGAGGCAUGGUCAGUGCGGUGCAUGGAUGGGGAGUUGCCAUCUGCGAUGACUCAGUGCAGCUCUACAAAAUCAUUGCAAAAGAUUACAGACUUACAGUAUACUAAUCAUGUGUGACACUUUUGAAACUGAAAUCCUUUCUCUGUGAAUGCAAAUGACAAACAGUACAUUGGCCAACAGCAGAAAACAUGCAGUGGUGGACAAAGCUCAUUAGCAUUAGCAAAGCUCAAUUUGAAUAAUUAUGCCUUAUUGCUGCUACCUUUCAAUUCAGCCCAGAUUUCCUUGAUUGCUCUUAGGUUAUGCCUCCAACCAUUUAGGCAAUUCAAGCUGUUGCCACUGGCACAUCUGACAGAUGCCAGCCAGUUAAUACUCUCAUUGAUAAAAUCAAUAUGUGUCUCUCUGAAGGCAUCCUUUUGUGGUGUGCUGCUGGACAAUGUGCUACUGUUAAAGCAGUCAAACAUCUGGUUAAAGUGGGCUACAAAAUCUGCCGUCGUUUUUGCCCCCUCUCUUAGCUUCCCCAUGUCUGCCAUGGUGAGCAGUGCAGCCGCAACAGAAUGACUAAGAACCUGUAAUAAAAAAAUAAAAAAAAUCCCAUUUUCAGGACCAUAGAUAAAGAUUGUAAAUUGAAUGUUAUACGCCUGCAUGACAGUUUUCACUUGUGGCUUACCUGAGUGGCGAGAGGCACACUCAUUGUUGAAAAGGCAGUGAGGGACAGAUGCCGUUGGGUUAACUUGGGUGCCAUUCGGUGUUGUCUUUGUGAAUCAAUUUUAAACAUUUCAGUGAUGUCUCCCCAUUCUGCCAAUUUGUCCCCUAUGUAAAAUCCAUAUUUUCGCAAAUUGUUUCUGAUGUUUUUCAUUAAAUGGGGGGGGUCGAAUAAAAAAUGAAUCUUCUGGCUUUUGACAAAGAAGUACGGUUUUUCUUCUGUUAUACCCAGGUUUCUACAGGCUGCCAGGUUGUUGCUGCCUUGGUCCAUUACCAGCACCAUGGGAGUGAAGCCAGUGUCAAGCACCUUUUCCACCGCCUCCAUGAUUUUGGUUUUUAAGACCCCAUGCUUCAUGGUCCCAGAUGACAAGAAGUACCCUAUGGGUUGUUUCCAUUUCCCAGUUAGACUACGGAUCAUGAAAACCCCUGCAUGGUUGGCUGGUCUUCCCCCUUCGUCAUACCCUUCUACUUCAUCUUUCGAGAUGUUAUAAUUUAGGCUACAUUUCAAUGUAAUUUCAUCAAAUGUGAUGGCAACGUGCCUAUCUCGCUCUUCCAUAUGCUGCACUUGAUGUUUAAGUGCAUACAGCACAGGUUCAUGCCAUCCCGGCCCGAUGUCUACUCUCUGCAAGAUAUUUGAAAGGGUCCUGGCUGUAGGGAGCUUGAAAAUUCUCCUCAUGGUUCGGUAGGCUUUUGGCCCUGUACCCUUAACCUGUAACGCCCAACUUUUCAUGAAGUUGCUCCACCGAAUGGCCCUUGGUUUUUUUUUGGCAUUAUCAAUUUGCUCGUUGACAAAUUGUGCGGCUUGUUUUGGCAAUACUUUGGAAAUUUCCCUCUUUAAUGUUUGUUUGCUGAUAGAUGGUGUCUUUUUCUUUAGCCUUGACAGCUUUGAUUUGUAGCAGCCAAUUUUUCUUUUCAGUUUUUCCACUGUGUUGUCAUUGCUGACACUGGCCAGUACAUCAGUGCCUAAAAAGAAAUGUGACAACUGUAACAACAGACUUAUGCACAGACUACUACCUAUGCAGUGUUCAACACUCAGAAUGUAUCUGUUACCACCAUUUGCCAUUAAAUCACUUACUAUCCAGGA